rnacentral:rRNA from 1 species
UGGGGAAUCUUGCGCAAUGGGCGAAAGCCUGACGCAGCAACGCCGCGUGCGGGAUGACGGCCUUCGUGGUUGUAAACCGCUUUCAGCAGGGACGAAAAUGACGGUACCUGCAGAAGAAGCCCCGGCUAACUACGUGCCAGCAGCCGCGGUAAUACGUAGGGGGCAAGCGUUGUCCGGAUUCAUUGGGCGUAAAGAGCUCGUAGGCGGUUCAGUAAGUCAGGUGUGAAAGCUCCGAGCUCAACUCGGAGAG